rnacentral:tRNA from 1 species
AGACAGUUAGCUCAGUUGGGAGAGCACUAGAUAUUCUAGGGGUCGCAGGUCCGAAUCCUGCACUGUUUC